CCUACGGGUGGCUGCAGUAGGGAAUAUUGGGCAAUGGAGGGAACUCUGACCCAGCCAUUCCGCGUGAAGGAAGAAGGGCCUCUGGCUUGUAAACUUCUUUUGUAUGGGGAUAAGAUAUUGUAUGGGAUAUGAUAUUUGCAGGUACCAUAAGAAUAAGCACCGGCUAACUACGUGCCAGCAGCCGCGGUAAUACGUAGGGUGCAAGCGUUGUCCGGAAUUACUGGGUUUAAAGGGUGCGUAGGCGGGUUAAUAAGUCAUAGGUGAAAGGUUGUAGC
rnacentral:rRNA from 1 species